AUUGCUUCUUGGUUCCUUGGAGCUAAGAUUGAAAGUGCAGUGUCUGUUCUUAUCAGUUUAAUAUCUGAUAAGUCCUUUAUUUAAGGACUGUAUGUUAAAUUGAUUUUUGAAACAAGGGAUGAAAUAGGGGUUUGCUCUAUCCACCUCUAUCCCAGCCCCAUACCUCGGCGGCCGCUGCUUGAGCCGCCCGGGGAUCCCAG